rnacentral:rRNA from 1 species
GCGAGUGAGCGGCAAAAGCUCAAAUUUGAAAUCUAGCACUUUCAGUGUUCGAGUUGUAAUUUGAAGAAGGUAACUUUGGAGUUGGCUCUUGUCUAUGUUCCUUGGAACAGGACGUCACAGAGGGUGAGAAUCCCGUGCGAUGAGAUGCCCAAUUCUAUGUAAAGUGCUUUCGAAGAGUCGAGUUGUUUGGGAAUGCAGCUCUAAGUGGGUGGUAAAUUCCAUCUAAAGCUAAAUAUUGGCGAGAGACCGAUAGCGAACAAGUACAGUGAUGGAAAGAUGAAAAGAACUUUGAAAAGAGAGUGAAAAAGUACGUGAAAUUGUUGAAAGGGAAGGGCUUGAGAUCAGACUUGGUAUUUUGCGUUCCUUUCCUUUUUGGUUGGGUUCCUCGCAGUUUACUGGGCCAGCAUCGGUUUGGAUGGCAGGAUAAUGACAUUGGAAUGUAGCUUUACUUCGGUGAAGUGUUAUAGACUUUGUUGAUACUGCCUAUCUAGACCGAGGACUGCGUCUUUGACUAGGAUGCUGGCGUAAUGAUCUUAAGCCGCCC